rnacentral:rRNA from 1 species
CAGUCGCCGCGGUAAUACGGAGGGCGCGAGCGUUACCCGGAUUUACUGGGCGUAAAGGGCGUGUAGGCGGCCUGGGGCGUCCCAUGUGAAAGGCCACGGCUCAACCGUGGAGGAGCGUGGGAUACGCUCAGGCUAGAGGGUGGGAGAGGGUGGUGGAAUUCCCGGAGUAGCGGUGAAAUGCGCAGAUACCGGGAGGAACGCCGAUGGCGAAGGCAGCCACCUGGUCCACUUCUGACGCUGAGGCGCGAAAGCGUGGGGAGCAAACCGGAUUAGAUACCCCGGUAGUCCAUGUCUCUUAUAA